rnacentral:rRNA from 1 species
GUUCGGAUUACUGGGCGUAAAGCGCACGUAGGCGGAUUGGAAAGUUGGGGGUGAAAUCCCGGGGCUCAACCCCGGAACUGCCUCCAAAACUAUCAGUCUAGAGUUCGAGAGAGGUGAGUGGAAUUCCAAGUGUAGAGGUGAAAUUCGUAGAUAUUUGGAGGAACACCAGUGGCGAAGGCGGCUCACUGGCUCGAUACUGACGCUGAGGUGCGAAAGUGUGGGGAGCAAACAGGAUUAGAUACCCUGGUAGUCCACACCGUAAACGAUGAAUGCCAGUCGUCGGGCAGUAUACUGUUCGGUGACACACCUAACGGAUUAAGCAUUCCGCCUGGGGAGUACGGUCGCAAGAUUAAAACUCAAAUGAAUUGACGGGGGCCCGCACAAGCGGUGGAGCAUGUGGUUUAAUUCGAUGCAACGCGAAGAACCUUACCUACUCUUGACAUACUAGAAACUUUUCAGAGAUGAAUUGGUGCCUUCGGGAAUCUAGAUACAGGUGCUGCAUGGCU